CAAGCCACUGGGGUACACAGGCUAAGGAGAUGUCCCUGAGCUCUCCUGGAGGACAUGUCAUCACCCUACCACUCUCCUAGGGACUGGUAUUUCCCUACUGCAUGUUGAAGCAAGUUGAGCACACACCUCACCCAUAAUUGGACUGAGAUAAAUGUGGAAGUAUGAAAAUGGAAUUCUAUCAUGUCGGCCAUCUCAAAGUAACUUAAUUUACACACCAAAUAUUGAGUGCCUACUAAGUGCCAGGCCCCCUCAGCUGUUAGUGGACAAAGCCACCACCCUUAUGAAACACACACUAGCAAAAUGACUAAAUUAAAAGACCCCCUCCCAGAAAGGGAAUUAUACAAGCCCAAGGCCCUCAACUAUAGAAGUAAAAAAUAAGUUUUUAGAUAUGUGGGACAAGCUGACCCAUCAUUUAGACGAAACAGACCAGAAAAGAAAACAAAAUACAGAAACCAGACUAAAUUAUGGGCACUGCUCCAUGGGCCACCUGACAAGAAAAAGAAAAAGUCCCUGACCCCCCGGAAGCCCUGACCACCAUGUACUUUUUGCUAACUCACUGUUAUGAUUAUAGCCAAAAUAGGUAACAUACACGUAUGCCUCAUUUACUCCACCAAUCACAUCCCUGUAACCAUGCAUCUGCUUCUGUAAGCCUGCUUCUGCUCCCCAAUGCCCUAUAAAAACCCGUCCCUGGUUCUGCUAGGCGCACCAGUCUUCCAAAUUGACUGGGACGCCCACAGAUACCUGUGCUCCCUGAUCAAUAAAAAAUCCUCUUACAGAUUACAGCCGGUGGACUCGGACUGGUCAUUGGGGCUUGAGGAUCUCCCUCCUGAGAGAAGAUUCUCUCUGAGAGUCUUACAUAUGGGGGCUCGUCCGGGAUCGGAGAUCCUCUGCCUAGAGACCACCGACCACCCACCGGGAGACUGUUACAGGUCUUCUUUACCACUGAGGAAAGACGGAAUCCUACUAGAGGCCAAAAAGAAUGUUCCAGACAUGGAUAGAAGACCCUCACUCCUGACUGUUGACUUGAAUACCCCUGAAGGUAGGGAGUGCUCCAGGUCUGCCACCAGGCUCCAAGGGUGGGUCUCCGAGGGGCUAAAAAAUGCCCCACCAAUCUGGCUAAGAUAAAAAAAAGAUAUAAAGAGAGAAAGUUACAGAAAUUUAAAGGGUUAAGCUAAGUUGCUGAGAGUUAGUGUAAGUUACAGAAAAAAUAAAGUUAAAGUGUAGUUACAUAAGUGGACAACAUCUAAUAGCUGUAGAAGAAGAUGCAGAAGGUAUGAGAGAGAGACUGAGGAAGAAAAAGAGGAAAGAAGGUAAAAAGAGCAGGAAGCUAAGGAAGAAAAGAGACAAAAGGAAAAAGAAGCUAGAGAGCUAAAGAGAGAUAAAAGACAGGAGAGGAAUAUAUACUGGCCACAGUAGUUAGGGAACCUAGGAAGACAGUACCUGGCAACAGAAGAGAAUUCCUAGCUAAAGAUCAGUGUGCCUAUCGCAAGGAAAAAGGACACUGGGUCAGGGACUGCCCCAAGAAGAACAAGAGGGGCCUCUCCAGCAGCCCGGAAGGCAAGUCUCUUGGUCCUAGAGUGCUGGCUGUCCGCAAAGAUAGAAGGGAAGCCUGCCCAGUUGUUUUGUGAAUACGGGGGCCCAACACUCUGUGCUCCUACGCCCAAAUGGGCUAGUGUCCAGCAAAAGACCUUGAGUACAGGGGACUACCGGCAACAAAUGAUACUCAUGGACUACCCGAAGAACAGUGGACCUUGGCGUGGGCCGGGUAUCCCACUUGUUCUUUGUGAUUCCAGACUGCCCCUACGAGUCUAAACCCUGCAACCCUGCUCCUGGACCCUGACCUAGACACCCCCCUUCAUGACUGUCAACAGGAGCUCACUAAAGCACAGGAGUGGCAUAAAGAUCGGACUGAUCAGCCAACAGAGGGGGUAGAUGCCAUCUGGUUCAUAGAUGGGAGCAGCUUCUUACAGAAGGAAAAAGAUGGGCUGGGGCAGCAGUGGUAGAUGGAAACAGAGUCAUAUGGGCUCAGGCCCUACCAGAAGGCACCACUACUCAGAGAGUAGAGCUCGCUCCCCUUACCAAAGCCCUUGGGCUGAGAAAGAGACUUAACAUCUAUGUGGACAGCACGUAUGCCUUUGCUACAGCCCAUCAACAGAGGGGCCUGCUGACAUCUGAGGACAAGAAAAAAAAAAGAGAUUCUGGCUCUGUUAAGGGCCCUACAUGACCCAGCCAGGCCGAGGAAGAGACUCUGGUACACCUCAACGAGAAAGAAGAUCCUGCUAACUAAAUAUUAUGGCCCAGGUCUCAAGUAUCUCGUGGAACAGAUAGUGCACUGAUGUAUACCAUGCCAAAAGGUAACUGUUUUCAGGAAAGUUGACUGUGAUAGGAGGCUCCAUGGGGAACGGCCUAGAUACUACUGAGAAGUGGACUUCACAGAGAUAAAACCAGGAAAAUAUGGUUAUAAAUGUCUCCUAGUGUUUAUAGAUAUCUUUUCAGGAAUAGGUAGAAGCUUUCCCCACCAAGCAAGAGACGGCCUCAAUAGUCAUCAAGAAGAUACUAGAAGAAAUCUUCCACAGGUCUGGAGUGCCCAAGGUAAUCUGGUCAGACAACAGCCCUACUUUCGUUGCCAAGGUAAGCCAGGGUGUGGCCAAGUAUUUAGAGGUUGAUUAAAAAUUACGUUAUAUUUACAGACCUCAAAGUUCAGGACAGGUAGAAUAAAUAAAUAAGACUCUAAAAGAGACCCUGACCAAAUUAACCAUGGAGACUGGCACAGACUGGGUGACACUCCUUCCCUCUUGCUCUCUUUAGAGCAAGAAAUACCCCUUCCAGAUUCAGCUUUACCCCCUUUGAGAUCUUAUAUGGGGCCUCAGCUCCCCUGACUAUAUUAGAUGAUGUUACUGAACCAACAUGUCAUAGUAAUAAUGAUUUAUAUGCCAGGCUAAAAGACCUACAGGUGAUACAGAAAGAAAUCUGCUCACAGCUGACAGCAGCCUAUGCCCCGGAGACCCCUGAGACAUGUCAUCAGUUCCAGGUCGGAGACUACAGCUACACUGAGCCCAGACACUCGAGCCUCGCUGGAAAGGACCGUACCUGGUGCUGCUGACCACCCUGACAGCCGUCAAUUCUCAGCCCUCACCAGCCGUGUACUAGCUGUUGGGGCUGAGAGCUGGGACCUAGAGGGACUCUCAGAUCUUCAAAAAGCUUUCUAGACUUAAGUGACUGGGAGGUUGCUAUAAUGCUCACUUGAGGAGUGUGUUUUAGAAACAAGAAUUUCAUGUUUGCCUGUUUGCCCUGGGUUCCCUCGGAAUAGGUGUAAAGAUAGGCUUGAUUUUUAUUGCAAAUGAUGUAACAUUACAUAUGUUAGCACUCCUAACACUUCUUGGGACUGUGCCUCAGGGAUCACAACCUAUAUAAGUUUAGAAGUUCUAAAAGACCUUGGUGUAUAGGUUCAGAUAGUGUCCAGAUUAGAAUCCUGAUACUAAAGACUUAUAAGACACAAAAGAGAGUUGAAAAUUAUUUAAGGCUAUCUAGGUGCUACAAGGACAGCACAAGGACAUCUGCUGUUGCCCUACAAUGCAAGGCUUAUAGAGAAUUCAGAACUGCCAUUGACUCAGAUAUAAAAAGAAUAAAAAAGACUUUUUAGCUGACCUCCAAGAACACCUAACCUCCCUCUCAGAGGUAGUCCUUCAAAAUAAGAAAAGAUUAGACCUGAUAUUCCUUAAAAAAAGAGUCUGUGUGCUACACUAAAAGAAGAAUGUUGUUUCUAUACAGAUCAGACAGAAAUAAUAAUAAGAGAUAUAGUCUUUCAGUCAUUCAAACUUUUGUGCUGAGACAACAGUAUCAGAUGGUGAAACAACAAGAAACAGAGGUACCUUAACCAAGUUGAGUAGAAGAUUCCACUCAAGGACAAAAAGAAAAUGGGGGAAUAAAAGACCCCCUCCCAGAAAGGGAAUUAUACAAGCCCAAGGCCCUCAACUAUAGAAGUAAAAAAUAAGUUUUUAGAUAUGUGGGACAAGCUGACCCAUCAUUUAGACGAAACAGACCAGAAAAGAAAACAAAAUACAGAAACCAGACUAAAUUAUGGGCACUGCUCCAUGGGCCACCUGACAAGAAAAAGAAAAAGUCCCUGACCCCCCGGAAGCCCUGACCACCAUGUACUUUUUGCUAACUCACUGUUAUGAUUAUAGCCAAAAUAGGUAACAUACACGUAUGCCUCAUUUACUCCACCAAUCACAUCCCUGUAACCAUGCAUCUGCUUCUGUAAGCCUGCUUCUGCUCCCCAAUGCCCUAUAAAAACCCGUCCCUGGUUCUGCUAGGCGCACCAGUCUUCCAAAUUGACUGGGACGCCCACAGAUACCUGUGCUCCCUGAUCAAUAAAAAAUCCUCUUACAGAUUA